UUAACUAUAAUGGGUUUAGGUGUGAAUAUCUUUAUAUUUAUUUUAUAUGGAGUUUUUGGAGCUAUUUUGCGUGUAUUCUGGUAUUUUUCAUCAAAAUGGGGAAGUUUGCGGCCAUAUUUAUUAAAAUAUUUUCUCUGUACUUUUCUCUCUUUCCUCCUUUCCUGAGACUUCCAUUAUACAUAUGUGGCUUUGUCUCACAGGUCUCUGAAUCUCUGUUUAUUUUAUUCAAUAGCAUUUACUUUGUUUUUAAGAUGGGAUACUUUCUAUUGGUCUGUCUUCACACACAUUAUUUCUUCUGCCAUCUAGAACUUGCUGUUGAACCCAUCUGGUGAAUUUCUAUUUCAGUUGUUCCUUUCAAGUACAGAAUUUACAUUUGGAUCUUUCUCCUACAACAUCUAUCUCCUUACUGGAAUUCUCUAUAUGUUAAUUCAUUUUUGUUCUACUUUUCUUUAAUUCUUUGAAAAUGGUCUCCUUUAGUAAUUUAAAUAUAACAGUUGAUUUUAAGUUCUUGUCUGCUAGAUCCAACAUCUGCAGAUACUAAGAGACUAUUAACUUUUUUUCAUGAGUAUGGAUCACAUAUUGAGUCUCCUUCCACUGUGGCAGAGAGUCU
rnacentral:lncRNA from 1 species